GUGCUCACUUCAGUAGCACAUAUACUAAAAUUAGAACGAUACAGAGAAGAUUAGCAUGGUUUCUGUGCAAGGAUGACACACAAAUUGGUGAAGCAUUCCAUAUUAAA
ensembl:snRNA U6 U6 spliceosomal RNA